rnacentral:rRNA from 1 species
CUCUGUGGGAUCAGUGGCGAACGGGUGAGUAACACGUGAGCAACCUGCCCCUGACUCUGGGAUAAGCGCUGGAAACGGCGUCUAAUACUGGAUAUGUGACGUGACCGCAUGGUCUGCGUUUGGAAAGAUUUUUCGGUUGGGGAUGGGCUCGCGGCCUAUCAGCUUGUUGGUGAGGUAAUGGCUCACCAAGGCGUCGACGGGUAGCCGGCCUGAGAGGGUGACCGGCCACACUGGGACUGAGACACGGCCCAGACUCCUACGGGAGGCAGCAGUGGGGAAUAUUGCACAAUGGGCGAAAGCCUGAUGCAGCAACGCCGCGUGAGGGAUGACGGCCUUCGGGUUGUAAACCUCUUUUAGCAGGGAAGAAGCGAAAGUGACGGUACCUGCAGAAAAAGCGCCGGCUAACUACGUGCCAGCAGCCGCGGUAAUACGUAGGGCGCAAGCGUUAUCCGGAAUUAUUGGGCGUAAAGAGCUCGUAGGCGGUUUGUCGCGUCUGCUGUGAAAUCCCGAGGCUCAACCUCGGGCCUGCAGUGGGUACGGGCAGACUAGAGUGC